rnacentral:ncRNA from 2 species
GUAUCUUUGUAGUGCAUUUGUGGAGGUGAUAGAGUUCACCUCUUGGGAAACUGGUGUGAGUCCAGUACAGUACCCGCUGCUGUAAGUCUUGAUGGGCUGAGAAGCCUUGACAGCACCCCGAUCGUUUGCCACUGCCCAUGUGGGCGGGAAGGUACGGAGGUGUAUGAGAUAAGUCAGAAGACCGACAGAUGCAUUUUACCGUAU